rnacentral:misc_RNA from 1 species
UUCAGUUUAGGUUAAAAAAAAAGUGGAUUAUCCUUAAGAUAAUAUUUGAUGAAAACCCAAAUUUCACGUGGAACUGACGACAUUUUGCAAAGCGAGAAUCUAUUUAGCACGGUAAACAUCAAAUGAAAUUGGUUGAAUAACCUCUUCAUUAUAAUAAUUUAUAUAGCGAUAUUUGCGCCCCUGCUUGCCACUUUUUCUUUUGUGUAUAUUUUUUUAAAUAGUAGUAUAGCGCACAAGUUUCAUCUGUAAUACUAUUAAUAUGCAUACUGAGCAAGAUAUGUUCGCUGGUGGAGGAAUCUUACAAAAGCCGUUAUAAUUUGGCCUAAUUAAAUAAAUCACUGUUGUACUAUUAUAGUGAAAAAUGACAAGCGUCUGCAUGAAUGCGAAUUUAUAUCCUUUCAGUCUAUAGUUGCCUUGUGAUAGAAUUAACUCAUACAGUGUGUCACGUUUAAAGCAACUAAAAAGGCAUAGUGGUAAGAAGGCGAAAACAUACUAGUCAGGUAUUCUUUUCUAGCUACUUUAAAAAAGCUUCCAUUUCGUGGCUGUUGUCGAGUAUGCAAAUAACUGAAAUGUCAAUUGUUGGAACAUGAAUGACAAUCAUGCUGAAUAAUUGUAACCACACAAUUCAUUUUUGUACUAUGCACAUUGACCACUUCUUAUUUUCCUCUUUGGUGUUUGUACAGUUAAAUUUUGUUCGCCAUACAUCUCCUUAAAUGGUAUAGCGAUAAGCACCGACAGCUAGAAAUAUGUCAACUAUUAUAAUGUGAUGUACGCAAAUGUUAGUAGAAUCUUACAUUUACUGUUUUCCUUCUGCUUUUUCU